ACGCAAGUGCACUCUACAGCCAGUGCUCCCGAACUGUUUCAUCCACGUGUUGAGAACCGGUUUGGCUCGUACUUGCAAGCCCUCAAGCGGUUGCUGCAGUUCGGCAUUCAGCAUUUCUUCGUGCAGCUCUUCGCUAGGCGGAUCUGUGGCGGAAAUGCGGGCGUACAAGUUGCGAGCGCCUGCGAUUCCUUCGGUGGCCAGUAUGUAGAGCAAAUAGCGCGGCUUCAUGUGCCUGGAAUCAGCAACAACAUAAACUGACGUUUCGAAGAUCUGCCGCCUCUUGGCCGGAGUGAGCUUAUCGUAUAGAUCGCCCGCCUUCAAGUAGAUGUCGAAGAGUUUCACGUAGUUUGGCGCCCGGUUUAACAGAGCCGUGUUGAAGGCGCUCUCGAUUUCGCUCCAUUCCGCGUCCUGUCUGAUCAGGUGCACCACGUAGAGAUACCACAGUUUUUCACUUGGCUGUUUUUCCAAAUCUGAAACAACUACUUUCUGAAUUACAUUUAGGAAUGUUUUCAGGGCGUUGAAGCCGUGGCCCAUGGCAAUUUCUUCCUGACGUUUCGUCCACAACUGCGGUGGACAUUAUCAAAGGCGAUGAGGCAGUGGGCGAAGUGAUCUCCCGUGCUCUCCGACUAAGACGGAACUGUCUUACGUCACGAACGUCAGACUAUUCUAACUAGACGAGUGUUAAACAUGCAUACGAUGACUAAUGCAACCCAUAUACUACUACUAAAUUCAUAAACCACUUGAAACAAG
rnacentral:lncRNA from 1 species